UCAUCAAGAGAAAUGAUUCACUUAAGGAUCCAAAAAUACAACAUUUCCCAGAGAAGUUUACGAAAGGAAGCUUCACUUUCACACUCAUUUGCAGCUUCAUCUGUGUAUACACAUAUAUAUUUGCAGUGCUGUUAAAUAAAGUGUCUCUGGAUGUCACAGUAGAGGGUUUCAUCGGUGGUUCUGUUGUCCUGCCCGGUUCUUCAGCUGAAACAUGAU